UACAGAGGUCUCAAGCGUUGUUCGGAUUCAUUGGGCGUAAAGGGUGCGUAGGCGGCGCGGUAAGUCGGGUGUGAAAUCUCGGAGCUUAACUCCGAAACUUGCAUUCGAUACUGCCGUGCUUGAGGACUGGAGAGGAGACUGGAAUUUACGGUGUAGCGGUGAAAUGCGUAGAUAUCGUAAGGAAGACCAGCGGCGAAGGCGGGUCUCUGGACAGUUCCUGACGCUGAGGCACGAAGGUCAGGGGAGCAAAACGGG
rnacentral:rRNA from 1 species